AGAGUUUGAUCAUGGCUCAGGACGAACGCUGGCGGCGUGCCUAAUACAUGCAAGUCGAGCGAAUCAAUAGGAGCUUGCUCCUGUUGAUUAGCGGCGGACGGGUGAGUAACACGUGGGCAACCUGCCUGUAAGACUGGGAUAACUUCGGGAAACCGGAGCUAAUACCGGAUAAUUCAUUCCCUCACAUGAGGGAAUGUUGA
rnacentral:rRNA from 1 species